CAUUAGUUUCCAUUCAUCUGGUUGAAGGGAGACUGCAUGGACAUCCUUAGUUCUCUAAUGUGCUGUGAUGAUGAUGGUGAUGAUGAUGAUGAUGAUGGUAGAAAACCUCCCAGUUCAUCUUCCUCUGAUGAAAUGACAGACUAACUGCUGAUGAGUUAGUUUAUUAUUCUGUCUUCAGGAUUCACAGGUUCAGUUUCUUACCUGCAGCUUCACUUCUGCUGUUGUUGACAGGUGAUGGUAGCAACACUUUUAAGAUCAGAAUUUAUAAAUAUUAAACUGUGAUUAAGUGAUGGAUCAUCUCUAGCACUGUCACCACCUCCACAGGUGAAAGUAUUUACCAGUUAACAUCAGCAUGUUUUUUGAUCCUUCAUUGUCAGUGUUGUCAGACAACAUUUAAACAUUUCUAGUAUUUAUGUUGUUUAUUAAAGCUAACAUAGAAAUAGUCACACAAUGCUGUACGUGUUACUGUUGUGAAAAUUCAUACCAGAUGUGUUCUAUAAAAACCAUCAACAAAGUUAAAGCAAGAGCUUCAGAAAUAACUUUAUUGGACAUUAUAAACUACAUUAAUUUAAACAAUUUACAACACUGGAAACAUGGAUUUUAUAAACAUAUAAAAGAAUAAUAAAUGGAUUAAUUAAAUACUGUAGUGUUCAAUUUAUAAUCAACUAUUUAAAGUCAAAAAAUAGUUGUGGAUGAAGUUAAAGCUGAAUUUCACUGUCAUAUGUAAGUUUGUUUAAUAAAAAGAAGUAGUUGAAUCAACAGCAACAGAAUCUUUAGUAACAAGUAUAAUCAUUAUUCAUCAUGAGUCCUAAUGUGUGAGACAGUUAAUAUUUAUUUGCUCCAGUAACAAUCUCCCUCUAAAUAAGUGAUGCUGUUGGAACAGCACAUUGAUAUUAACUAUAAUGGCUGAGGACUAUGAAAUAUGAAUCUAAUGUUUGAAACUAUUGACAGUUUGUUACAGCUACAGUGGAGUCCAAGAGUCAUGUGACUGUAUGUCUGACACGGGGGGGAAGAGAAGAUCUUCAUGUGUGGACUCUGCAGGUGGAGGUGGUGCAGGGCCUCCAUCAUCGCUGCAAGAGGUUGUAGGUGUCCCCAAAGAUCCAGACCUUGGCUGGAUGGAAAAAACAUUAUAAUAGAGGGAAAUCAGAUCAAUAUCAUAUUGUAAAGUAUAGAGAAAAAGAUAAAAGAAACAGCACUCUGAUUAGAUGAUCACAGAUAUCUGAAAAUACAUUAUUCCCUCAGCUUAUUGUAAUAAACAGUCUGCUGAACCGUUUUACAUGAAAUAACAAUAGAAUAGAAACUAAUACUCAGUUUGGAGUCAUUGUGCAGGUGCACAUGUCAUGAUGGUUCUCAGCUCUCAGUCAUGUUCUUUAUUCUGACAGAGACAGAAUCAUUCCAACAUGUUUUGACUCCUGUCAUCAAUAAUGAAAUGAACUAGAGCUGAAAACUAUCCGACUAACACUGAACCAAACUUAAUAUGAACAAACACGACACACACGUCCGCUGCUCUGCUCUUUACCAGCUCGUCCAGACACGACAGUUCACUGUAAUAACGGGAUCGUUUAGUGACCGUGACUUACCGACAUUAACCCGCUGUUUCUGUUAACACUAAGGUCGGUGACGUCACCUUCGCUUUGCAGAACUCAUUGUAAAACACGUUAGAACAUGUUUUCCCUCGAUCUAUGGUUUUAAUACAAGCGGUUACACCACACAGUUAGCUUACACGCAGUAACUUCAGCUAAUGUUACAAGCUUUCUCCUCAUAUAUGUGAUAUUUACCAAAUGUGGACAUGUAUGCAAUUAGCUACUAAUUUUAUUUUAACACUAAUAUAUAAAGUUUACAUCCGAUUAUGAAUGCUAACUGUGUUGACAGCGACUUUGUAUUGCGUAUCCAGGAGCCUGCUGCGGUCAGGUAGCCGGUGUAGGCGGCCGUGCAGAGCAAAGACUCUUUCUACAGUUGUUCUUGUUAUUACAGCCUGAUUCUGCACAAAGCUCGGGCAUUUUAACACUAACUGAUGGAUUACUUGUCCCUGUCGGAGCAGAGAGGAGGAGCCUCCGACUCCACGGCUUCUCCUAUUGGUGCAGCAAUGAUCCUGUCAGCCUUCACCACAGCUGCUGCCGUUUCAGCAUCAGAGGAAUAGAGCUUAAGAGCCCAGUCCACACAUCAUUAGUGGCAGCUGACAUGAUAGGCAGCUCGCCUCUGUACCGCCUUUGUGAACAUUUGUGUGUAAUUUGGUUUGAGAUGCUGGUAAUGAUUGUUGGGAACUAGGCUAGUGUAGCAGGUGCGCUGUUGUUUUUGUCCCACUGAUUGCUGGGCGGUGCCACACCUUUUAUAAGGGUCUGGUUCUAUCCGCCUCUCCCUCUCUCUUCUCUUCCGGGGCCAUUGGUCCACUGUCGUGGUGUGGUUUGGUGUGACCGAUGUAGGUGUGGAGGAGCCAUUGUGGUGUGGCUGUGCGCACACUGGAGCUCUGUUUGGCGUGUUGGCCAUCGUGACGCACGCUCGUUCUGCAGUGUACAGGUAUGCACACCGCCGUUCUCCCUCCUGCUUAGCGUGCCAUAUUGCGCAGCAGUGACAGUCCAUUCUCUGCUGCAGGUGUCGGAUUACUGUCGCCGUGGGGACCGGGCUGCCCCGCUGGAAGCCCCUUGCGUGGGUUUGUGCAUCCUCAUGGUGAGUUGGCGUUGUCCGUCCUCCUCCUUCCUUUUUGUUUGUCCCUGGCUAAUUAUUAAUGUGUGCCACAGUUUGGAUCAGGCAGAAGUCGGGGAGUAACUCCGCUGCUUGGCCUGCUGUGACGCUGCGCCGGUGAGGUCGAUUUGGAAACUGAUUCAACGCCACGGCUCGGCGUUGCUGUUUUGGCUCUAUUGGUCUACAUGGUUUUACUAUUUGUUUUAUUGUUUGUUUGUUUGUUCGAUUUUAUUAGUAUUUGGUUCUGCAUUCUACUUACCGUUGUGUCGAUGCAGCUGUUGUAGCAGUCUUUGCCGCUGUUUUUGUUUAUUGGUUUGUACAAGUAUUUAGUUAUUUUGAACAUUGAUUUAAUUUAAUUUGAUUUCUUUUGUAUUGUUGUUUGUGUUCUAUUUGAGAUUUAAUUUUUUUUGUUUUGUUAAGAUGAUUAUUCAAUUGAGUACCGUUUUAUUGAGUUUGAUUUCUUUUGUAAAUUGUUAAUUGCUGUUAUAUUAUAUUUGAGAAGUUAGAUUAUUUUGUUAUUUACUUUAUUACUUAUUAUUGUUUUGUGUGUGUGUAGUGGUAAAGUGUGGCCAUUUUAUUGUUCUUUCUCUCCCUGUGGACAGGUGCUGUGGGCUCCUGGCGGCGACCCAAUCCCUGGUGGCGGUUCUUCAUGUUUUCAGUUUGUGUGUGUGCAGUGUCACGGGUGUUUUAGUUCCCCCCUUCCUCAUUGGUUUCGGGCCGCCGAGCUGGGUCGCAACAUAAAGACUGCCAACAUGCGGUGACUGGUGAGACAGGCCCAUGUCGUCAUAUAUAGAACCUAGAAACCAACAUGGCAGCAGGGAACUGAAACCUGGCUCUGUGAGCAGUCCACAGUCAACGCUGUGUGAGUCAGUGGCGCGUGAAGUCUGCCCUCAGUCCCACGAAGAAGAACAACAACUUCCGGCUCCUAAAAGACGAUAGUCAUCUGCAUCCCGAAGGACCGCUCCCGACAAGAAACCACGUUCGACGGCAAAGAAAAGAAGCGACAGGAGUAAAUCUGGAUGUGUCUUCCCGCCGCUGGAGAGGCUCCUGAGAGGAAAGAGAUGCGGUUUGAUGCCGAGCUCGCAACAUUCCUGUUAGCCUGGAGAUUUCAGCAUCCCUCUGUCUUCAUCAGGACCUGAGCCAGUACAGGUGCAAUACCGCCUCCACCUGUCUCACCAACGGCAGAGAGUCCAGACAGUGAGGAGGGUCUAGGACCAGAAGUCCAGUCUAAUCAUCACCAAUGAUGAACCAGCACCUGCCUUUUCUUCUGCAUCUGGCCUCAUCAACCACAUGACAUCAACACCUUGAGGUGACAAAGAAGCUGCUGCUGCUUCUGAAACGGUUGCCUGGGUUACCAAUGUUGGUGUGUUGGCUCUCCAGGAUGGCGGCCGGAUUGAUGAUGCCACAUAUUCAAGGUGGACCCCCGGAGGUUCCUGUUUUCACAUUGAGGCACAGUGGUCCUCGCUGGAGGGGAAGCACGGGAUGUUCGGCCUGACUGUUGCCAAGGUGAUCCAGAGGAUCUCCUGGGAGGAGUGGAGUCUCCACUGUUGGAGGAGGACACAUGGGGCGGAGGAGACGGCUCUCCUCAUCCAGGAUCUCCACGUCACCCUGGACGUCUCUUUGCUGGAUUCUCUCUGCAUCCAGGACACAUGGAGACACAGAGGAGCCGCCUCAGCUGCAUUCAGGACCCAGCAGGUGCAGCUGUACAGAGACAGGUAGACUGACAGAGGGCGGGGUCAGCCUUCAGGUUUCCACCUUCACCACUUCAUCCCAGUACCUUUUUCCUCAAGCCAGUGCCAAGUACUUCCAAGCUCCUGACAACACCUGCCUGACAGAGCAGGAGGAAGAGCGAGUUGUCUUCCCUCCCAGAGACCAGGAGAGGCAGCGACAGGGAAGAACACCUCCUGUCCUUGGAAGGAGAGUCUCCAGAGCUGUCUUCUUGGACUGAACUCGGGCCCUGCAAACUGGGCCAGUGUUAGCCGCCUGCUGGAGGCUGUUUGAAACCAGCUCUGCGUCUUCACCCGGUGGCCACGUGGUCCAGAGGGACCGUGAGGACUCGCUGGUCAUUCAGUCUCAAGGAUCAUGUGGCAUCAGAGAGGCAGUGCUGGCCAGCCCCAGGUUGAUGGCUCAGAUCAACAUCCAGCUCUUUGAAUUGAAUUGAGGACUCAGUGGUGCUGGCCAGACUCUCCCUUCAGCAAAGGGUCUGUCCUUGGUACAGGUGGGACAAGGACAGCCUUUUAACUUAAAUGUCCCAGAUGAGCAGCCUGGGCCCUCCAGCAGGGGUCUGCCUACUCCUUCUCCUCCUCCUCCUCCAGAGAAUGAACAGCAUGGCCCCUCAUCCAGUGCUGUUGGUCCUCCCCUCACUCCAGCACCACUCUCCUCUUCUGUUCAUCCACCUCCUCUGCCUGGACUACCUGUACCCAGGACCAGAGCCUACAGGAAGAGGAAGGUGACCUGAAGCUGCUGUGGCAGAGCGUGGGCCGCUGCCUGGAGGAAAAACCCCUCCGGCUGCCAACGUCAUACAUCUGCAGCAAGUGUGGCCAACCCAGAAGAGAACUGGAUGAAUCUUAUUUAGUAACAAGUAUAAAUUAUAGUAGAAAUGUAAAAAUAAUGACUGAGGUCAGUGUCAGGAUGAGUCUCUACGACAUGAAUGAAACCAAAAGUGACGUCCUUUGUGUAGAUUGAAACGAGAGGAGUGAAGUUCACGCACCAAGCAGCAGGAACAUUCAAAAUUUCUCCAGGAAUUUUCUAGUUGUUUAUUAUUCUCUGUCCUCAGUGUUCACAGAUUCAGUUUCUUGCCUUUUACUUCAUUUCUACUGUUGUUGAUAGAUGACAGUAACAACAUUUGAAGAGCAGAAUGUGUUCAGCUCUAGCUCAGUCACCACCUUCACAGGUGAAAGUAUUGACCAGUUUAAAAUGAAAACAGUGUUCAGUAGGAAACAGAUGGAACUGACCCACCAGAACUGCAACCUGGAGCAGAACCAGACUCUUCAUAGAUGUGAUGCUGUGACCUCAGAGACGGAUGUGUUCACCUUACACACUCUUUAGUGUGAACUGCACAUUGAGUUCAGAUUGUGAAGCAGUUGUCAGUGUAGUACAGCUCAUGUAGCUCAUCUAGCUCAUGUGUUUGCGGACCGACCGAAGAUCUAGUUUAUUGAAAAAGGUUCCCUGAGCUGAUGGAAUCUAAUGGCCACAACAAAUAAAUUGGUCAUUGUGAAGUUUGUACUGUUUUCUUUUAUGGUAUAUGGUGCACAGCCUAGUAAAGUCUAGAAAGGAAGACAACAGCAAGAAGCACCUGAGUUCAGCUUCAACCCUGGUUCUUUCUUGCAGUGUUGCAUGUUCUCCUUGUGUUUCCUUCAGGGACUCUGAUUACUAGAAACAAAGACAUGCACAUUUAAUUAAUUGAGGACUCUAACUUGUCUGUGUGUGGUGGUGGUGGAAACCAUUUUCCUGCUUUCCUCCCAGUGCAUGCUGGGAUACAUUCCAGUACUUCAGACUUUUUGAUCAGACUUGUGCUACAUUUGCAUUCAGAAUCACAAAGUUUGAAUGUAGAAGUCACAUAAAUGUAAAACAAAAAAGAUUUUCCCUAAAAUUACAGAAGAAAAACUUUAAAUUGUUAGUAUGGACGUUAACUUUUAUAAUAACAAGCUGCAUUUUUAAUUACAGAUAAUUCCUGUAAUUUAAGAAAGCAGAACAAAUACUGUAUGAAUAAUACAGUAAUUUGUCUUUACAGAAAUGGGAAAUAAAUGUAAUGCAUGAUUAUUGGCAUAAUGCUUAAAAUAGAAGUUUCGCUGUUAAUUCAGUCAUUUUACGGACUUUUGUUAACAAUUUUAAAGAACAUGAAAUUAUUAUUAUUAUUAUUUAUUUUUUUUUUCUUUCCUGUAUGAUAAGGCAAAAAAAAAAAAAUCCUAAUUUUGACGUUUUUUAAAAUUUUUAUAUCUUACUAAACCAUGAUGUUUCUUGACAAUUUCAUGCCUUAUUAUACUGUAACAUUCUUAAUAAGAUUUUGGUGCCAUACUUUAUUAUGACGUUAAUAUUGUAUGACAUCUUGUAACGUUUUUAUGCCUUACUAUAGUAUGACAAAUUAUGACAUUUUAUGCCUUACUAUACUAUCACAUUGUAUGCCUUACUAUACGUAAGGCAUACAAUGUGAUAGUAUAGAUGUGAUAGGGUAAGAUGUUAUUAUGCCUUAUUAUACUAUAACAUUUGUUUAUUUUUUUUGCCUUAGUAUAGUUUGAUAUUUUUAUAACAUUUGAACAGCUAACUAUUUUAUGACACUUUUUUUUAAUUAUUACUAUUUAUAUGUUUAUAUUAUUGUAUUGUUAUAUUAAGUAAUAAUACUUUCCCUGUAGAUUAAUUGAAUUAUUGUAGACUGUUUCAUCUCAUUUUCUUUACUGAACCUCAUUGUCAUUAUUCUCUCCUGCAAAUGAUGUAAAGCCUUUAAACUUGUUGUUUAUUAUAAUUCAUGUUUUAGUGUUUGUCCCAAAUUUUGUCUUGUCUUGUGGAGGCACUUUGUCACUGUGUUUUGAAAAGUGCUGUAUAAAUAAAACUCAUUGUUGUUGUUAUUUGAUAUAUUUUUGACAUUUUUCUGCCAUACUAUACUAAGAUCUUUUUUGGCAUUUUUAUGGCUAAUUAUA